rnacentral:rRNA from 1 species
UCUAUGGCUAAUACAUGCGCAAAUGCCUCCUUCUCUGGAGGGGCUGUGUUUAUUAGAUACAAAACCAACCCACUUCUGUGGAGUCUGGUGAUUCAUAGUAACCGAACGGAUCGCAUUUGGCUUCGGCCCGCGAUAGAUCUUUCAAGUUUCAGACCUAUCAGCUUUCGACGGUAGGGUAUUGGCCUACCGUGGCAGUGACGGGUAACGGGGAAUUAGGGUUCGAUUCCGGGGAGGGAGCCUGAGAAACGGCUACCACAUCUAAGGAAGGCAGCAGGCGCGCAAAUUACCCAAUGAAAACAGUUUCGAGGUAGUGACGAGAAAUAACAAUACAGGGCAUUUUAUGCUCUGUAAUUGGAAUGAUGGGAAUGUAAAACCCUUCCAGAGUAACAAUUGGAGGGCAAGUCUGGUGCCAGCAGCCGCGGUAAUUCCAGCUCCAAUAGUGUAUAUUAGAGUUGUUGCAGUUAAAAAGCUCGUAGUUGGAUUUCUGCUGUGGUCAUCCGGUACCGCCCGUAUGGGUGCGCACCUGGUUUGGCUCCGGCUUUCUUCCUGUAGCCGUCCGCGCUUAAUUGCGUGUACUGUGUUACGGAACUUUUACUUUGAGAAAAAUAGAGUGUUUCAAGCAGGCUUGUCGCCCUGAGUACUUCAGCAUGGAAUAAUAGGAUAGGACCUUGGUUCUAUUUUGUUGGUUUCUAGGACCAAGGUAAUGAUUAAUAGGGACAGUUGGGGGCAUUCGUAUUUAACUGUCAGAGGUGAAAUUCUUAGAUUUGUUAAAGACGAACUACUGCGAAAGCAUUUGCCAAGGAUGUUUUCAUUAAUCAAGAACGACAGUAGGGGGUUUGAAGACGAUUAGAUACCGUCGUAAUCUCUACCAUAAACUAUGCCGACUAGAGAUAGGGAAAUGCCUACCUUGGCUUCUCCUGCACCUCAUGAGAAAUCAAAGUCUCUGGGUUCUGGGGGGAGUAUGGUCGCAAGGCUGAAACUUAAAGGAAUUGACGGAAGGGCACCACCAGGCGUGGAGCCUGCGGCUUAAUUUGACUCAACACGGGGAAACUCA